rnacentral:rRNA from 1 species
GCUAAGCCCUAAACAUUGAUAGUAAUUAUUACAAUACUUUCCGCCAGAGAACUACAAGUGAAAAACUUGAAACUCAAAGGACUUGACGGUGUCCCAUAUCGGCCUAGAGGAGCCUGUCCUAUAAUCGAUACCCCCCGUUCCACCCAACCUCAACUAGCAAAAUAUCAGCCUAUAUACCGCCGUCGACAGUCUACCCCAUGAGGGUUCAACAGUAGACACAACAGCCUCAACGCUAGUACGUCAGGUCAAGGUGUAGCAAAUGUUGAGGAAAAGAUUGGCUACAUUUUUUAUGAUAAAAAACACGAAUUGCACUAUGAAACACUGCAUGAAGGUGAAUUUAGUAGUAAAACAGACAAGAGUGUCUGUUUUAACAACGCUCUGGGACGCGU